rnacentral:rRNA from 1 species
UACGAAGGGGACUAGCGUUGUUCGGAAUCACUGGGCGUAAAGCGCACGUAGGCGGCUUUCUAAGUCAGGGGUGAAAUCCUGGAGCUCAACUCCAGAACUGCCUUUGAUACUGGAGAGCUUGAGUCCGGAAGAGGUGAGUGGAACUCCGAGUGUAGAGGUGAAAUUCGUAGAUAUUCGGAAGAACACCAGUGGCGAAGGCGGCUCACUGGUCCGGUACUGACGCUGAGGUGCGAAAGCGUGGGGAGCAAACAGG